GCUAGCCCAGUUGGUAGGGUGCUUGUUUCAAGUUCGCUAAGGGUCUCGAGUUCGAGACUUGACGUCUACU